GAGUGUCCAUUUUAAUAGACUACUGGCUCAUCCUUGAAAAUAUAUACAAAGCAUCUUUGUAGACAACAAUUGAGCCCUAAAACCAGUGAUAAAUCCAAUUACGGAUUGCAUUAUGUACAAGUGGAAGCAGCGCCUUCCAGUUCCUACGUGGAAAGCAUGAACACUUCCUUUCUGGAAUGUACUAAUCUGUGAAUGACAGACACAAUGCUACA
rnacentral:lncRNA from 1 species